UUUAAGCAUUAUUCAUCAUAAACCCCCUGUUAACUUUUAAUCAUUCAUUUCCUUUUGUGUCAUAACUCGGUAUGAUUGUGUGAAUUGCAAGAUGUGCAAUAAAACUAAGUUUGGGGUGGAAAUCUUGAAAGAGAAGGCAAGUGCAUAAUAUGAGAUCAUACAAAAAGAAAAAUAGUAUGUAUUUUCUUUAAAAGAAAAAAAAAGAAAAAAAAAGAAAAGAAAAACAAAAGAGAAAAAUGCACUUGCCGAGACCUAAGACUCUAACAGAUAUAAAAUGCUCGGAAAAUUUGAGUAGAAAAAGAGUCAAAAGAGUGAAAUUAACCCCCAGAGUAUACGUGAUGCACAAAAAAAAAAGAGAAAGAAAAAUCACACAACAUGACUACCGAGUUCAAAACCCUUUGUUAUCCAAUUUUUUUUGUUUAUCCCACCGUACCCAAGCCCCGUUACAACCUAAAAAGACCUCAAAAAGUGUGUGGAAUCUGCUGUGGUAGUGAC
rnacentral:lncRNA from 1 species